rnacentral:rRNA from 1 species
AUGGAGCUUUAGACACCAAAGAAGAUCCUGUCAAGUAACCCCUCACAAGGGCCUGAACUAAUGGAAUACUUCCCUAAUGUCUUUGGUUGGGGCGACCGCGGGGAAACAAAAAACCCCCACGUGGAAAGGGAGCACCCCCUCCUACAACUAAGAGCCGCAGCUCUAAUUAACAGAAUAUCUGACCAAUAAGAUCCGGCAAUGCCGAUCAACGGACCG